rnacentral:rRNA from 1 species
GACGAACCGUGCGAACGUUGUUCGGAAUCACUGGGCUUAAAGGGCGCGUAGGCGGCUUACCAAGUCCGGGGUGAAAGCUUUCGGCUUAACCGGAAAAGUGCCUUGGAUACUGGUAGGCUUGAGGGAGGUAGGGGCAUGCGGAACUUCCGGUGGAGCGGUGAAAUGCGUUGAUAUCGGAAGGAACGCCGGUGGCGAAAGCGGCGUGCUGGACCUCUUCUGACGCUGAGGCGCGAAAGCUAGGGGAGCAGACAGG